AUGAUACGAUCCUCCCGAUCGAGCCACCGCACAGAUCGGGCGCCAGCGCUUGCGAGUUGUCGGCGUUGCCAUACCGCCACACGCCGCCGACGCGACACUGCUGCAGCCCGUUUUUCCAACGAUGUUUGUUCACCGUGCGGCCAGCAAUUUAUGCCUUGCCGUCACACUGUUCGGUGCGCUGCCGACGACGCCGUGCCCUGCCGGCAUCCAUUUCUGCCGAUGACGCAUCUUUGUGCGUCACCGCACAUUUUGUACUCACCACGUGCGCCGUGCCACGCAGCCAGCCAUGGUGUCGCAUCGCCUUGCCGUUGUAUCUCUCAACCCACAGCCACUCCCAGUCGCGUGCGCCACCGUCGUCCUGCGCAGCCGCGCCGAGCCUUGCCAUCGGUUCAUGAAACGCCGCAGCGUCCGGCCAUCGCAUCGCGUAACCGCUUGUCUUGCAGUACGCGUGCACUAUCCAUGUUGUCGCCAUGCCGAGCACUGGCCAUUGACGUUGAGAGCCUCGUCAAGAGGCCGCGUUCGCAGCCGCCUCCUCGCCUUGCACCUAGUGAGCGCCUCCCCGACUUGUCGUUCCAUCGCGAGGUCACGCACGCGUCUCCAACCAUCGGUGAUGCCGAGAACGACGACCGGGCGAUGGUGCUUCCUUUCUUCCCGUGUAUACGCUCGGACAAAUCGAUUUUUUGCAUGAGUGCAUGA
rnacentral:rRNA from 1 species